rnacentral:rRNA from 1 species
UGAGUACGAGAUGCUACGGCAUUGAAGCAGUCUAUGUCAUACUUCCAAGAAAAGCUUGCACUGUCAUAAACAAAGAAUGCCUGUACCAUAACCGACACAGGUGGGUAGGUAGAGUAUACUAAGGGGCGCGAGAUAACUCUCUCUAAGGAACUCGGCAGAAUGACACCGUAACUUCGGGAGAAGGAGUGCCUUAUUUUUAAGGUUGCAAUAACAAGAUCCAAGCAACUGUUUAUCAAAAACACAGGUCUCCGCUAAGUCGUAAGACGAUGUAUGGGGGCUGACGCCUGCCCAGUGCCAGAAGGUUAAAGAAGUUGGUUAGCAUUCGCGAAGCUGAUAACUGAAGCCCUGGUGAACGGCGGCCGUAACAAUAACGGUCCCAAGGUAGCGAAAUUCCUUGUCGGGUAAAUUCCGACCCGCACGAAAGGCGUAAUGAUUUGGAUACUGUCUCGGAGAGGGACUCGGUGAAAUAGACUUGUCUGUGAAGAUGCGGACUACCUGCACCUGGACAGAAAGACCCUAUGAAGCUUUACUGUAACUUGAAAUUGAAAUUGGACUUUAGUUGCGCAGGAUAGGUGGGAGGCGUUGAGAAUAUUCUUGCGGGAGUAUUGGAGCCAUCAGUGAGAUACCACUCUUCUAAUGUUAGAUUUCUAACUUUGUAUCAUUAUCUGGUCAAAGAACAGUUUCAGGCGGGCAGUUUGACUGGGGCGGUCGCCUCCUAAAGGGUAACGGAGGCGCACAAAGGUUUCCUCUGAACGAGUAGAAAUCGUAUCUAGAGUGUAAAGGCAUAAGGAAGCUUGACUGUGAGACCUACAAGUCGAGCAGGGACGAAAGUCGGUCUUAGAGAUCUGACGGUGCUGAGUGGAAAGGCCGUCACUCAACGGAUAAAAGUUACUCUAGGAUAACAGGCUGAUCUCCCCCAAGAGUUCACAUCGACGGGGAGGUUUGGCACCUCGAUGUCGGCUCAUCGCAUCCUGGGGCGGUAGUACGUCCCAAGGGUUGGGCUGCUCGCCCAUGAAAGCGGUACGCGAGCUGGGUUCAGAACGUCGUGAGACAGUUCGGUCCAUAUCCGGUGUAGGCGUUAGAAUAUUGAGAGGAGCCUUCUCUAGUACGAGAGGACCGAGAAGGACAUACCUCUAGUGUACCAGUUAUCGUGCCAACGGUAAACGCUGGGUAGCUAUGUAUGGAGUGGAUAACCGCUGAAAGCAUCUAAGUGGGAAGCCCACCUCAAGAUAAGUAUUCAC